AUUGCUUCUCGGCCUUUUGGCUAAGAUCAAGUAUAAAAUCACUCAGGUUGUUGGCAGAAUUAAUUUUCUUAAAGCUGUAGGACUGAGGUCUUGGUUUGUUGCUGCCUAUUGGCUGGAGACUGCCUUUAGCUCAUAGUUCCUUGGCAAGUAGGCUUCCUCAUUAUGCCUGCUUACUUUGCCAAACAAGC
ensembl:snRNA U2 U2 spliceosomal RNA